GGUCGGUUAGCUCAGUUGGUCAGAGCAUCGCAAUCACAUCAUCUUACUACGGUUAAGGGUCCUGCGAAGGUCAUAGGUUCAAGCCCUAUACUGACCA